rnacentral:rRNA from 1 species
GAUGAACGCUGGCGGCGUGCCUAAUACAUGCAAGUCGAGCGAACGGACGAGAAGCUUGCUUCUCUGAUGUUAGCGGCGGACGGGUGAGUAACACGUGGAUAACCUACCUAUAAGACUGGGAUAACUUCGGGAAACCGGAGCUAAUACCGGAUAAUAUUUUGAACCGCAUGGUUCAAAAGUGAAAGACGGUCUUGCUGUCACUUAUAGAUGGAUCCGCGCUGCAUUAGCUAGUUGGUAAGGUAACGGCUUACCAAGGCAACGAUGCAUAGCCGAACUGAGAGGGGGAUCGGCCACACUGGAACUGAGACACGGUCCAGACUCCUACGGGAGGCAGCAGUAGGGAAUCGUCCGCAAUGGGCGAAAGCCUGACGGAGCAACGCCGCGUGAGUGAUGAAGGUCUUCGGAUCGUAAAACUCUGUUAUUAUGGAAGAACAUAUGUGUAAGUAACUGUGCACAUCUUGACGGUACCUAAUCAGAAAGCCACGGCUAACUACGUG